rnacentral:lncRNA from 1 species
AAUAACUCUGAGCUGGAGCAGCCCUGAGCUGGAGAGACUCUGAACUGGAGCAGCCCUGAGCUGGAGCAGCCCUAUGCUGGAGGGACCCUGAGCUGGAGCAGCCCUGUGCUGGAGGGACCCUGAGCUGGAGCAGCCCUGUGCUGGAGGGACCCUGAGCUGGAGCAGCCCUGUGCUGGAGGGACCCUGAGCUGGAGCAGCCCUGUGCUGGAGGGACCCUGAGCUGGAGCAGCCCUGUGCUGGAGGGACCCUGAGCUGGAGCAGCCCUGUGCUGGAGGGACCCUGAGCUGGAGCAGCCCUGUGCUGGAGGGACCCUGAGCUGGAGCAGCCCUGUGCUGGAGGGACCCUGAGCUGGAGCAGCCCUGUGCUGGGACCCUGAGCUGGAGCAGCCCUGAGCUGGAGAGACUCUGAAUUGGAGCAGCCCUGAGCUGGAGAGACUCUGAGCUGGAACAGCCCUAUGCUGGAGGGACCCUGAGCUGGAGCAGCCCUGUGCUGGAGGGACCCUGAGCUGGAGCAGCCCUGUGCUGGAGGGACCCUGAGCUGGAGCAGCCCUGUGCUGGAGGGACCCUGAGCUGGAGCAGCCUUGUGCUGGAGAGACCCCGAGCUGGAACAGCCCCGAGCUGGAACAGUCCCGAGCUGCCUCUCUUGUUAGGAGUGAGCUGGUUUAUCUGUGGGUCACGGAGGUGUACUGAGCUCCAUCUGCAGAUCAGUUAAUCGCUAACAAAUGUGGGCGAGUUUUCACCCAGCACAGACCACAGGCCGUGUCUCAGACGCUUUGCCAAGCCAUUUUGGAGCUGUAAGCAACUGGCCUGCUUCCAAGCUGAAUCUGUUCUGGCACACAGAGGCCAUGAGCCUGUGAAGCUCUGACUCUGGCACUGGGAUUGGGUUCGUGAGGAAUCAUGAGCCAUGAGAUGGCCUCCAGUCGGUCAGCAGGGCAGGAAGGGACUAGGACUCAGGAUUAGGGGCCGAGUCAUCACUGACCUUCACAGCGACCUCUGCACUGGCAGAGGUGGGAAGUGGGGUUUUCAGAACGCCUGCUUCGGUUGCUGGGCACUCUGCUUGGUUAGAGAGAUGGUGGUAAGUUUGUCUGCCUCCAUUUCCAAGUGGGCCGUCACAGGCAUAACGGGGUUGGAGAUACCAACAGACCAAAGAAGAAAAGCAACAGCUCGGUUAUCACUAAGCCUUUCCAUGGCUCACUGAUGAGGACGUGAGAAGUUGGUAACCCACACCCCACAGUGACAGGGACUCCCUUUCAGACACUGCCAUGAGUUGUCACGACAGCAGCAGUGGUGACUGUGACACCGUGUCGUCACUUCCUGGUGUCCCACACGCUGGCUGCCCUCACUCCCCUUCCCCUGCCUGCUCGUGGGAUGCAGCGGAUCAGGUGGGCAGGUGGUAGGAGUCAGUUCAAGAGGGUGAACACGACCCUGGAGCUGGAGGGGCAGGAACAAUAUCCUGGGGCAGGCGUGGCCGAGUGUCCCUUAGCUGAGGGACAGUUUCCUGUUUCCUGUCCUUUACGGUGAGCUCCUCCCGGGCAGUGGAAGCAGAUGAGCAUCUGCUGAGGUGUGAGAAGACGCUCUGGAAGAUGAGAGGUAUGCCUAGCCAAAGGCUGCCAUGUGCCCUGUGCUCCCUGCAUGCCGCCAUGUGUCCUGGGAUACUGUCAUGUGUCCUGUGUUCUCAGAUGUCAUAUUGCCUGUGUUCCCUGGAUGCCGCCAUGUGCCCUGUGCUCCCUGGAUGUGCCAAGCUCAUGAGUGACAGUUAUUUUUUAUAAGCCAGAAAACCCCUCCGAGUGUGACCUUUAAGUUACUAAAUCAUUAUUCAAGCCUUCAGACUGACUCCCUGUGGAUACAGUUUCAUAGUCGCACUACUUUUUGACAAGAUUUGUUAGCUACACUUAGCCUCAUAAACAGAGCCACUGGGAACCUUGCAGCCACCCCACUGAGUGACACCCUCACAGUGACGAGCAGAGCCCAAACAAUGUCCUGGUGGCAUUGUAAAUGUCCCUAAAUCCUCCUGCCCACGAAUGCUCAUCUCUGGCUUGUUCAGUCCCAUGAUUUGACAGGAGGUUAACAUGGGACAAACAAACCAAUAGACACCCCCCCCCCAAACAGGACAUAAAGAACUAUAGGUAGCAGUGGGCUCUCUAGAAGGGCCAACUGAGAGACCCCCAAACCAAGAUAUAAAGAACAGAGGUGGCGGUGAUCAACUCCAGCUGGGUACAGCUUUGGGGACUUUCCUCCCCAGGGAGCAUCCACUAAGAGAUGUUACCUCCCCCUACUGAAAUGUGCAGGUUCAGGGGUUCUUGGUCCCUAAACAUAUUCUUGUAUCUGAUGUACUUACUUCAACAGACUGAAUUCUGGGUUAAAUGGAGUUCCCUGUCCUGGAAGUGCCCACCCUGAGGGAGGCACAGGCAGGGGACAGAAGGGAGAGGAGAAACGAAAGCCAGGAUCAGAGUAAAGCUGCUGUUGCCGGGCACUCUUUAGAAAUGUCUAAGCCGUUCUUGCUUCCCGGCUUGCUCUAAUUGGGCUUUUGACUGCUUGCUUUACCUCUGUGUCCCAUCUGAAUUCUCUUUCGAAAGUAGAAGAAUGGAGACAGCUGAUGGGGUCGAGACCAGAGGAAACCAGAGACCUCCCCAUAACACACAGCCUGGUAUGCCACCUUCCCAUGGUCCUGUGGGGGUGGAUUUCUUUCUAACAUCAAAACCUCUAACUUCUGCCUGACAAAGGACAACGCCCACGAGGAGAAGGUAGAACUGCCCAGUCCCAGCCUAACAAGGGAGGGAUGUAAUAGUUUGCAAGGCAACAAGAAAAAGACCUAUCCAUCGAUAAAAAACUGGAUAAAGGAUAUGAAUGGGUAGCCUACAAAUAAGAAAUGCAAACAACCAAUAAGCAUAAGAAAAGAUGAAAAUGUGCUUUUUAAUUAGACAAGUGAAAAUGGCUAUUAGUGGCGCUUAUCAGAUUGGCAAGGCAAAGCGUGCCAGGCUGAGAGUAAACAGACGUUCCCGGGGGUCCUAGCUAAACAGGUACAGACGUUCUGACAGGCACUUGGCAGGAGCUACCAAACUGUAGCGAGAACGUUCUGCCUUUCUCGUAAAUCAGCAUCCAGGCAGAAAAAAUGAAAACUGCUCUCAUACGACAAAGAAAGAGACAAACCAAGUCCACCAUGACAGAAGGGCAGGGGCCAAGAGCAGGUGUUGAGGUAAGUCAUGGCAGAGGGCUGCCACCAUCGGCUCUGGAGACAACAAAAGAAAGUGAGGAAAGUGUAGGGUUUCUGGGGCUCUAGGUUGGUCUGCCCUGCCUGGGUGACCUCAGCAGUCAAGGAAAAGGACAAAGACAGCAUUCCGAUGUCCCCAUCCAAAAAGAUGAUGCAGACUCACAUUCUCUACCUGUGCUAUAAAUGCAGAGUGAUCAAUUUUCUGAGUGAUCGAUUAUUCUGGUUGUGAGGGAUUAUCUAGAGUAGGUUAACUGAGAUGGAACGACCCACCUUAUCUGUGGCAGGGGCCAUCCCAUCUGCCAUCUGCUGUUCCUGACUAAGUAGGCGGCAACAUGGAGCUAGGCACCAGCGUACAUUGACCUCUGCUCCCUGAACAGCUGCCUCACACUCCUGCCACUGUGACUCCCCCACCGUGACAGAUGGUGCCCUCAGACCAUAGGACAAUAUACCUUUCGUUCUUUUGGGGUGGGGGGCAGCUGUCAACUCAAGGUUUCUCUGUGUUGUCCUGGCCGUUCUGGAACUCUCUCUGUAGACCAGGCUAGACUCAGAUUCAGAGAUCCACCCACCUCUGCCUCCCAGUGCUGGGAUUAAGGAUGUGUGUCACCACUGCCCUACUGAACCUCUGUUUCUGAGGUUGCUUUUGUCGGGGUACUUGUCACAACAACAAGAAUACUAGGUCACACGAGCUAAGCUCCCUGUAAAUGGGGCCUUGCAGGCAGGGGCAGAACAAGACUCAGAAAGUGAAGAGAAGAAAGCAUGCUGCUGAGCUCUCUGGUAGGAGCCCAGAGACGAGCAAGGCCUGAAGCUUACGGUCAAACACACAGAGGCCAUGGUCUGCCUACCCACCUCAACAAAGCCCAAGGAAGGAACCUGGACUCCCAUCUCUACCCUGUGGCAUCAAAGAUCCGAGAAGCCACCAGGGUGGUGGCAGGGAGGUCAGAUGAGGACCCAGAACAGAUGAUCCUGGCUGUGCUGUCAGCAGAGGCCAGGAAUGGAGUCCUG